rnacentral:lncRNA from 1 species
UGAAAAAAUACUUCAAAUUUGUGCAUUUGCAUUUUCUUAUUUAUCAGUGAAAAUCUUGGUCUCACAUAAACUUCUGAUUUCCUUAAACUGCUCUCUAUUUGAAUAAGUUAAUACCACCCCUCCCCCUACACAUAUACACACACAAUCACUUGUCUCCAGAAAUGUUUGAGGAUUCACAAAGAGAGAAAUGAUUUAAAAUAUGUGAAUGUUACAUUUCUUUUAGGCUCAUAACCUAUUUCUCUAAAACAAUUCUUUCAUUCAUUCCACCAGAUCCUAAGUAGUUUCAGAUAAAUAUAUAGAUUAUUUCCCAAGUGUUACAGAUUUCUUCAUCCAAAAGUAUCUUUAGUAAUUAUUCUAAUUUUUAAACAUUUGAUUCCAGUCCAGUAAUUCAUUCUCAUUGGAUGUGAAGAUUGACUUACGGCUCUUCUGUCUACAGCAACCAGUUACAUUACUGGAUUGCCUUAUGAAGUUGUCUCGGUUCUUUUGCAGGGGUCUUUCCAAUGAAGCAGUUCCAUCAGAGAUCUCAAGUGUGGAAAUAACUCAGAUGUAAACACUUUUGGUCUAAAAGCAUUCCUCUGGCAUAUCUUUGUAACAAAAUCUUCCAGGUGUUGAGUGGAAAGCCCACACUCCAGAAGCUCAUUAAAAGGGCCAAGUUACAGUACAGGUUUAUUUCUGUCACAGCGUUUCUGAAAACAGUGACAAGGAUUAAUAUGUUUCUUUAGUACUGGAAAAAGCCUGACACAAUCCCUUGUGAAUUUGAUCAUCUGUUUCAUUGCCUGUAUAAGAUUCAAUCUCUUAUUAUAUCCU